rnacentral:lncRNA from 1 species
AAAGGUCAAAAAAAGUUAUUUCAAUAGGAAUCUGCACAUCUGAGAACUUUGAGGUUGAAGGAUUUCCCUUAUGCAGAUUUUGUUCAAGUUCAAGUUGGUCAUGUGAAUUUACUGCGUUGAUCAACAGAAAGCUGCUUGGUUUAAAAGUGACUUUUGUGAGAUGUGCUUUUUAAUUCAGUUGGCAAUAGAUCUUUUUACUCAUGAAAUGUCUCAGAGAAAUUUGAGUUGAAAAGUUGAGUUGAAAAUUUCAGAAUGUCUUUUGCUGUCUAGGUAGGCAGCUUACUAUGGUUUGGAACAGCUUAUGUCUCUCUAAUAAACAUGAAAGUGGAAUAACUUCUCUCUCUCUCUCUCUCUCUCUCUCUCUCCCUCCCUCACACAGUCUCUCGCUCCUUCAGCUGAUGUUAAUUGAGUCUAAUUGAAAAGAAAACAUAAGAGGGAGGCUUUUGUAGUCAGGCUCUUUGAUUGGGUUGUGGUGUAGAGCUUGUGUCAGCUGGAGAGAACAGAAAACAAACGAGUCGUGGCCUGGUCAUCAGUGGGGUCAUUAAACCCACCUUCACCUGCUCAGGGUGCUUAACACAUCCAAGCUCAGCGCUGCCCUCAAUCAAGGGGUAUGAUUACUCACGUAGCUCUGCGGCGAGCUUCCAUUCUCUGUGCAGACAAGAACGUGCCUGUAUCACUCUGGCAGGGCCUCACUUUCCCUCUGCUCUUGGCAGCGUAGUUCUGCGUGAGAAACCGAGGAGAAAAACAGAGUGACUUGGAGAGAAAAAAAAGAUGGAGAAACAGUUAAAAGAGGUGAGGGGGGGUCUGAAUCUCUUGAUGAGGAGAUACCUUGUCCAUUCACACAAACAGUGCUGAGGUAAUGUUAU